rnacentral:rRNA from 1 species
UACAGAGGGGGCAAGCGUUGCUCGGAAUUACUGGGCGUAAAGGGCGCGUAGGCGGGAUGGCAAGUCGGUCGUGAAAUCCCUCGGCUCAACCGAGGAACGUCGAUCGAUACUGCUGUUCUUGAGGAUUGCAGAGGAGACUGGAAUUCCCGGUGUAGCGGUGAAAUGUGUAGAGAUCGGGAGGAACACCGGUGGCGAAGGCGGGUCUCUGGGCAAUUCCUGACGCUGAGGCGCGAAAGCGUGGGGAGCAAACAGG